AUAUGCUACCAUACCACGUUGGAAACACCGGUUCUCGUCUGAUCACGGGAGUUAAGCAAGGUCGAACCCGGUUAGUACUUACGUGGUGACCGCCUGGGAAUACCGGUUGUUGCGGCCG
rnacentral:rRNA from 1 species